ACUCAGCUCAGGUAUUCCUUUACAGCAACACCAAUGGACUAAGAGAAUGAAUCUUAAGGAUACAGACAAGCAAGGUUGUGGUUGUGUGUGUGGCACAGCAUUUACUAUAAAUAACAUGAAAAAAGAACUUUGUAUCAAAACUUUAUUUAUUAAACAAAAAAUGCACCAUUGGAAUAACAUUUCUAUAAAAAAAUGAAUAUGAGACUGUUCUACAGUGUUUACAAAACCCCCUUUUCCUUGUGUAGUAGUAUACAAGAUCAUGUGUAGAAACAGUCAUUGUUUUAAACUGUAAGCAAGUUUCCUUUCUUGUAGAACAAGAUUUACACUUAAAUAUUGCAAUCACUAGUCUAAUUUGGUUAACAAUGCUAGAAUCUGACAGUUUAAAGAAACUUUUUGUAGGCUCAAAAUACCUUUUUGUUAAAAAAGGUGUUUUGUAACAACAAAAAAUUUCUUUUCUCACUAAGGCUAGUUAAAGCUGUAGUAUACCCAUUUCUACCAAAUAAACUUAUCACUAGCACACUAACAAUCUGUUUGAGUUGCAAAGCCCUUUGAAUGAGUAGCACUGAUCUGCAAAAUGCUUUCAGAAUUAUUUAGGUUUGGUGUUAUCUUCUUUGAAUGACCCUAAAAAGGGAGAAGUGGCGAUGAUGGAACUUCAGUGAAGGCUUUGCCUGGACUGGACAUCUCUUCAUACUCAGCAAUGGACAAUUCAUUUCCAAAGUGGUCCCUCUGAGGUAUGGAACACUGCAGCUUUAACAGCCGUAUCUAGAUCCCAACCAGAUCUCCCUUUUUAUCAUAAAUUAUCCAAAAAGAAGCCACUCUAAAUAAUAAAUUAAAUAUUACUUAUAAAAAGUACACCCCAUACCCGCCCACCCUUCCCCCAAACAAGCUGACAAUUCACAAAGUUCAGAAUUGUCAGAUUUACCCUACAAUAAUAAAAAACAGCAUUUCUCCUCCUCUCCAUCAUUCCUUUCUUGCAUCUGAAAAUACAUGUUCAGCACACAGUGAGAUCCCUUGGCCCAUGCCCCUGUGUUUAUUAAAUCUUGCAGAGUUUUGCUCUUGCUCUUCUACCAACAACAAUCAUAGGAUGACAAUGUACAAAGGCUCUCUAUUGAGAGUAAGAGAAAAAAGUCCUUCAGAGAGUGCAACUGGAAGUCUGCCACGUGAACGUUAUGCAAUAGUGGCAACGAAGAGUCCAGAUGAGUAGUAAUAUUCAUUUGCUGAUAUGGGUGUGGUAUUUUGUCUUUUACAUAACCUCACUGACCAGGAAAUUGGCAUUUUUUUUCCCAAAUCAAUACUUUUUGGCAACAGGUAUUUAGAUAGCAAGAUACAUUGAGGCAUGGGUACAUAUAUUUUGCAUUGGAAUGGAAUAUCAUACAAAACACCUAUCUAUGAUUUUCCCAAGUAUCCAAUUUAAUUUUAAACACUAGACUCAAAUAAAAAGCUUUUCUGUACAAUACUAAAGUGAUUUCUGAAAGUCACCAGAGAAAUGCAAAUUAUGAGUAAAAUGUUGCUUUGAAUGUGAUUUACAAAAACAGAGACUUGAGUGUAUGGCUGCUUCUGCAUCUCCAGAAAGUUGUGGGCUCUGUAUAGUAUAUGGUUAUGAGCAGGUUAGGAUAGUAACCUCUGGCCUGCAGGACUGCCUGUGGUUGCAUGAAGGGAACUGAGUGAAAGGGAAAGUAACCCUGCUCUGCAUCUAUUUUAAAGUUCAGAUGACUUUGUUUUCUUUAAACAUGCCUGAAACUAGACAAUUUUUCCAUUUUUCUUUCUUUCAUUGACUAGAAAUGUACAUUCCGAAACCAUAAGAAUUCUGGGACACAAUUUUAUCUAAAAUGCCUUGGCCAUCAGUGAUGGUGAAAGCAACAGAUGUCAGAUGUCAGCCCCUGGCUUCCUGCCUUACCGUAGAGGGAUACUCGACAGACAGACUGGACAGAUCACUCAUGCUGGGGAAAGCCAGGUGUCAUGUCUUGGGGAAUCCAGGUGUUAUGUCUUAAGGACAGGCUGGCAGACCUGUGCAUACGCCCAUGUAGCGAGAAACUAGACCCUCAGCUCAAGACACUGAAAGAAACCUCAUGAAACAACUUGAAGCUCUGACCCUGAACCACCUAGCUAAACUGCUCUUAGAUACCUGAUUCUCAGAUACUAUUGAGAAAAUAAACAAUAAUUAUUUUAUGUUGCUACAUUUUGGGAGUAAUUUGUUACAUGAUAAUAGCUACACGUUGAAGAGCAAAUUAUUCACGCUCUGUUUUUCAGUUUCCUCAUCUGCACAAUGGAGUACCGAUUUUAUGAUGUGGUUGUGAGGAUUUAAGAGAUCAUCCACAGAGAAGUGCAACAGAGUACAGGGUCAGAAGUCAGCACCCC
rnacentral:lncRNA from 1 species